AUACCCGCUGAACUUAAGCAUAUCAAUAAGCGGAGGAAAAGAAACCAACAGGGAUUGCCCUAGUAACGGCGAGUGAAGCGGCAACAGCUCAAAUUUGAAAUCUGGCGUCUUUGGCGUCCGAGUUGUAAUUUGCAGAGGGCGCUUUGGCAUUGGCAGCGGUCCAAGUUCCUUGGAACAGGACGUCACAGAGGGUGAGAAUCCCGUACGUGGUCGCUAGCCUUUACCGUGUAAAGCCCCUUCGACGAGUCGAGUUGUUUGGGAAUGCAGCUCUAAAUGGGAGGUAAAUUUCUUCUAAAGCUAAAUACUGGCCAGAGACCGAUAGCGCACAAGUAGAGUGAUCGAAAGAUGAAAAGCACUUUGGAAAGAGAGUUAAAAAGCACGUGAAAUUGUUGAAAGGGAAGCGCUUGCAGCCAGACUUGCCUGUAGUUGCUCAUCCGGGUUUUUACCCGGUGCACUCUUCUACGGGCAGGCCAGCAUCAGUUUGGGCGGUUGGAUAAAGGUCUCUGUCAUGUACCUCCUCUCGGGGAGAUCUUAUAGGGGAGACGACAUGCAACCAGCCUGGACUGAGGUCCGCGCAUCUGCUAGGAUGCUGGCGUAAUGGCUGUAAGCGGCCCGUCUUGAAACACGGACCAAGGAGUCUAACAUCUAUGCGAGUGUUUGGGUGUCAAGCCCGAACGCGUAAUGAAAGUGAACGGAGGUGGGAACCUUUCGGGGUGCACCAUCGACCGAUCCUGAUGUCUUCGGAUGGAUUUGAGUAAGAGCAUAGCUGUUGGGACCCGAAAGAUGGUGAACUAUGCUUGAAUAGGGUGAAGCCAGAGGAAACUCUGGUGGAGGCUCGCAGCGGUUCUGACGUGCAAAUCGAUCGUCAAAUUUGGGCAUAGGGGCGAAAGACUAAUCGAACUAUCUAGUAGCUGGUUCCUGCCGAGUC
rnacentral:rRNA from 1 species